rnacentral:rRNA from 1 species
AUCUGUGAAUAAACCCACUCUGAAUGUACCCCAUAGCCUUUGAUCUCAGGAGCUAAGCAGGGUCAGGCCUAGUUAGUACAUGGAUAAAAGAAAGCAAAUCCCAGAGU